rnacentral:rRNA from 1 species
GAUUAAGCCAUGCAUGUGUAAGUAUAAAUAAUUCUACUUUGAAACUGCGAAUGGCUCAUUAUAUCAGUUAUAGUUUAUUAGAAAAAAUGUACUACUUGGAUAACCGUAGUAAUUCUAGGGCUAAUACAUGAGUAAAUCCUCGACUUUGAAGAGGUGUGUUUAUUAGUAUGAAAACCAUAUGCUUCGGCAUAAUAGUGAGUAAUAAUAACCUUUCAUAUCGUAUGUUGAAAUAACGAUAGUUCUUUCAAGUUUCUGCCCUAUCAGCUUUCGAUGGUAGUGCAUUGGACUACCAUG